AGUUACCUGUGUCUGGUUGCUCGUCACUCCUGGGCUCCUUGGGUUCCCUCUUCUGUCUCCAGACCCAUGAAGAGAUAAACCUGAGACAUACUACAGUUUCAAGAGUUUAUGUGAACAAAAAUUGAAUCGAAUGGAGCAACCUCCAAUCUAGCAGAUAGAAAGGAGCUAUGAGGGGCACAAAGACGUUACUUUACAAGCAAAAAAGCAGGAGAAGAAAUUGUGAACUUCCCUAGAAUGGAUGGAAAGAGAAAGCAGGAGCAGACACCUCUGCAAUCUGACCUAUGCACCCUUGAGAGUCCUAUGUUGUCUGACAGAAAAGCCACAUGGGAAGACUUGAUGCUCUUUAUGAUGCCUGGUGCAGCCCUGACACUAGCCACUGAGGUUACGUGUAAUUAUCCACACAUCCUUUCAGAAUAAGGGAAAUCAAGACAUUGGCCUAUCUCUGAGAACCAUCUCUGUGGAGACAACAGAAGGUGAAAUACAGAGGAGAACACACACAAGAAAGCAAGACAACCCAUUCCUUUCUGUUGCAUGACUACACUUACAUGAUGCUCGUGUGGAAGUAUGUGCAGACUACAUAGUGGCUCAGUCUCUGGGGGGAGGCAGGAGCCACCAGCUGCACAGAGUAGGAUGCCGGCUUCCCUUGGUAGAGGACCAAGAGCUGGCUUGGGAACUCCAAGGCAUCCAUGAAAAUGGCGUCCAUGAAAAUGGCUUAGAAUUUUCUGCAGGAAACUUAACACUCCAGGAGUUUGACAUUCCAAAGGUUUGGAACUAUCCACCAACUGUUUGGUGUUCCUGAGAACCAUGUGGUUGCUCAAGAAAUUUCUGUUCCCUCUGUUCCAACUUCCUUUUCCACAAGGGAGUGCCAUAUACCUCCAAGUCCUGUUCAGGGAGAGAACUGGAAAAACAGUGAGACCAAGUGACUCACUUGAGAAGAACAAGCAGAGGGUAGUGCUAAGGAAUCAGACUCUUUAUUGUAAAGUCCAGCCACUUACUUUGCUUUUUAACAAUCUUGAGUGACAUUGAAUAAAAGAUACCAUCAAGGACAAA